rnacentral:lncRNA from 10 species
CUGGCGAGACUCGGGGGAGCGGGGCUGGCUCAGCAGGACACAAAUCCAGGAGCCAUUCCUUCUGCCUGGGAGGAGGGAGUGAUGAAGACCAGAGGAAUCCCAGAGGAGAAGCCAUCUGAGAUCGGGAGGAGGAGAAAUGGAACAUCAGGCGGAGGAAACAGCCCAGACAAUCGCACUGGGACGUGAAAACCCUUGGGCUGCAUGCGGGGAGAAAACCAGAAUUGGGGAUGGUUAGGGUUUUGGAGGGAAACACAGGGACAUGUGACCAAAAAUAAUAAUAACUACUGUUACUUAUUGAGGACUUUCUAUGUACUAGAAUAAGAAAAUCAUGAUAGCUAAGACUGAUAAAACGCUAAGUGUCAAACGCUGUCUUCAGCACUUUACACAUAUUCACUUAUUUAAUUAAUCGGAGAAAAUAACUUUUAUGAGCCAGGGACUCUGCAUACAUUAUCUCUUUUCAUUAGCCCAGUAAUCCCAUGGGGUAGGUACUAGUACUAUCCCUGUUUUAGAAAUGAGGAAAUCAAACCUGAGAGGCUAAACCACUUGCCCAAGAUUACACAGCUAAUGUCAGUGCCUAGAUUCAAACCCACAUCCGUAUAACUCCAGAGCCUGAUGCAACACACCUUAUUUUCCAGGUGGAGAAACUGAUAAUGAGAGAGAAAUGACUUGCCUAAGAUCCCUCAGCAAGUUUUAGCAAAGCCUCGUUGUAGAAUCCCAGCCUCAAACCUCGUCCAUCUGUUCCUUUUUCUGAGCCUCUUUAGUCAAACCCAGGUUGACUAGAGAAGUGCUAAGUGUUGGAGAGGGCGAGGCACUCCUGAAGAUGAUGGGUAGGUAGGUCUAUCAAACCCUACUCAUGGGCACCCAUGAGGGAAAUCAAAUAAGUGGUUCUGGCCAUUAAUGUCGUUUGGGACUCCGUUAGUCUCCAGCUGCUGUAAAAUUCGUAUCUUUCUGUGAACCCGAAAUAUCUGAGAUAGGUCUCAGUCAAUUUAGAAGGUUAAUUUUGCCAAGCUUAAGAACGUGCUCAUGACACAGCCUCAGGAGGUCCCAACAUGUGCCCAGGGUGGUGGGGGUGUAGCCUCCUUUUAUAUAUUUUGGGGAGACAUGAGACAUCAAUCAAUAUGUGUAGGAUGUACAUUGCUUCCGGUCCGGUAAGGCAAGACAACUCCAAGCUGCAGAAAGGGUGGUGCUUCCAGGUUAUAAGUAGAUAAGAAACAGAAGAGGUUACAUUCUUUUGAGUCCUUGAUCAACCUUCCACUGAAUACACAAUUUAGUCUAGCUCAGUGAAUCUACAUUUUUACAUAAACAAUAGGGCAGAAGAAGCAAUCAGAUAUGCAUUUGUUUCCGGUGAGCCUCAGAGGGAUGGCUUUAAAUUCUGUCUGUCCUUUGUCCACAAGGAAUUUCCUUGUGUGAAAAUUGUGAGGAAGGUAUGUAGCUGUUUCUCUUUGUAGCUAUCUUAUUUAAGAAUAGGAUGGUGGCCUGGCAUUGUGGCUUAGGCCUGUAAUCCCAGCACUUUGGGAGGCCAAGGCGGGCAGAUCACCUGAGGUCAGGAAUUCGAGACCAGUCUGACCAAUGUGGCGAAACCCUGUCUCUACUAAAAAUACAAAAAAAAUUAGCCAGGCGUGGUGGCACACCUGUAAUCCCAGCUACUCAGGAGGCUGAGGCAGGAGAUCGCUUAAACCUCGGAAGGGGAGGUUGCAGUGAGCCAAGAUCACGC